rnacentral:lncRNA from 1 species
GCGAGCGCAGAGGUGGCUGGAGAGGGAGGAGGAGCUGCUUAAGGAAACCGCAGAUAAGUUGCUUUGUUAGAAAUGAUAGAAGUUAGUACAAUUCUUUAGGAGAUGUAAAUAGCGAGAAUAUUUAAGUUAAUGCUUAGCAUUAAGUUUUUAAAGUAGUUUCGAUAAUAAGAUCUUGCCGAAGGGAAAAUAAUGAAGACUGACUUGAAAAGUAGUUUGAGAAAGGAGGAGAGAAGAAAAAAGAUAUUUCUAGAAUAUGAGGGAGGUUAAGAGAUGAAGCUUAGUAAUGGAGUGAGAUAAUUUUAAAUAGCUGAAAGGACUGCGAAGUCCGAAAUCAAAACGGCAUUAAAUUGAAGAGCAGCGUUUUAGAUUAACUUUAAAACGCAGAUGACGUAAAUAGAACCUAAACGUUUUAGAAAAUGAGGUUUUAGAUGACGAAAAUAUUUUAAACGCCGUCUCUUAAAAAGAUUAAAGGUGAUUUAAGAGCGAGACCUUCAUAUUCGUGGCGCAGGAAAGGUGAUUUGAAGCCUAGUUGGUCUUAUGGCAUUAUUUGCUAAAAAUUGAUGGAAAUAGUAAUUGGGAGUGGCAGGAUAAAAAUUUGGAGAAAGAAGAUUAGAAAUUAGAAGUGGAAAACACAGAAGACAGAAGUACAGGAAGGUGAAGAAAAGACUUAGAAGAUAGGAAAAAUAGAAGAUAAGACGCCUCUAGAAGACAGAAAAACUAAUUUCAAAGCCAAAAGGUAGGAAGCAGAAGAAAAAGUACUUAGACAAAUUAGGAAACCAAAGCAACUAAAGGCCCAGAUAGAAAUUAAGUAGGAAACCAGAAGAGAGAAAAAACAAGGUUGAAAAUACAGUCAAGGAGAAGUGUUUCAGAUAGAAAAUGAAAAGCUAGGACAAACUAUUGGAUACGAGCAUACAAGAUAGACAUGAAAAAAUUAGAAAAAUUUAAAGCUAAAAAAUUGGAUAAAGUACAAGAGCAGAAAAACAGAGGAAAUUAGCUUUUUAUAGUGAUAGGAAUUUUUUAAAAGCCUAUCAAUUUAAUCUCCGGUGAUGCGGAAGUUAGAAUUGAGAAGAUGAGGGUUAAACUACUGUAGACCAGGACCAAUUUAGAAGAAUUUCCGGAAGCUAGAAGAGAAAUCAGUUAAAAAUCUCAGCCAAAAGCUACUAAGAGGACUGAAGUAAUUUAAUAAAAAUUAAGAAUGGUUGUGGAAGAGUUAAAAAUUUGAAAUGCCUUAAAUAUAGUAGCUUAGUUUUCUUUGGAAAAUUUAAAGGACUUUGAUAACAAUUCAAGAUCAAGAAUACUCAGCAGUUUAACCAUUUGGCGCUGGACUUUGAGCUCAGAUGAUUUAAAUGCCGAGGACUAGCGUUAAUUGACAGCUGACGCAGGUGCUACGCAGAAGUGGAUUCAGUGAUCUAGGAAGACAGGAGCGGCAGACAGGAUCCCGGGAGCCAGUGUGCUGAAGCUAGGACGGAGGCCGAGCGGCCGUUCGCGGUGAAGAUAGGAAGGAGCCCGGGAGCCAGUGCUUGUGGUGAAGGCAGCUAGGAAGAAGGAAGGAGCGCUAACGCGUGGAGGCGCAGCUAGGCCAGAGUCCGGGAAGCAGGAGCCUGUGCUGUGUGAUGAAGCUAGCGGGCGGCUUGGCUUGGCGACCCCGCGGCGGCGGCGAGCAGGCGGAGUGGAGGCUAGCUAGAGCAUCCUAGAGCAGCGCCCGGUGUGCGAGGCCGCGGGGAGAGCGAGUGGCGUGGUAAAGAUCCGCGAGGUCGGCAGUACCGUGCUGGGUUGUUUUUGGUAACUUGAGCGUGGUAACCUUUCCUUAUUUUCCUAACGGUAACGGGGGAGUUGCGUACUUAAGCGUCAAGGGAUUUACUACGGGGAUGUAGGCCGAUUUCCGGGUGUCGUAGGUUUUUCUUUUUCAGGCUUGUUUUCUCAUCUUGUCUGAAGCUUUUGAGGGCAGACUUCCAAGCCCGGAGGAAUGGUAGAUGGCAAGUUUUUUUUUUUAAAAAACCGAUCUGAGGGAAACCAAAUGAAUUUGAUAGAACAACUUUGAGACAAAUGUUGGCAAGUUUUAUACGCAGUUUCUAUUUUUAGCUUGGAGUAAUGAAGCAUUUCAGUUCUGUGAAUAGAUGACCUAUUUUUCUGUCCUCACCCUGUAUUAAAGUUUUCUAAAGGUGGAGUUGGGGUGUGUAACUUUGGGGGGAGUUUUUGUGGGGUUGGGGGGCAAAAUAUGUUUUGAGUUCUUUUCCCCUUAGGUCGGUCUGUCUAGAAUCCAAAAGGCAGAUGACUCAAGUUAACAGAAAAAAGGAAAAUCCAGUAUCAGGAUAAUCAGAACACCACAGGUUUACAGUUUCUAGAAACUAGAACACGAGCAGCUCUCACUUUGAGGUGUGUGGCGGAAUUAUCCAUUGGAGAAAUGGCUGGUAGUUAUUCUUUUUUCCACCCCUUAAUCAGAUCUUCAAAGUAUGUAACCCCUUAAACAUUAUUUUUACUUGGAGUAUUUUGGAGUGGUCUUACCAGGGAAGAGGGUGGGGGAGGAAAUGUGUUUUUUCUAAGAUUUCCACAGAUGCUAUAGUGCUAUUGACAAACUGGGUUAGAGAAGGAUUGUACUGCUAUGCUGUUGGCACGAACGCCUUCAGGGAUUGGAGCUGCUUUUUCCCUUGGAAGAGUAUUCCCAGUUGAAGCUGAAAUUACAGCACAGUGCAGCUUUGGUUCAUAUUCAGUCAUCUCAGGAGAACUUCAGAAGAGCUUGACUAGGUCAGAUGUUGAAGUUAAGUUUUCAAAUAAUGUGACUUUUAAAAUACCUUUCUUAAAAGGGGGUGGGCAAAUUUUUGGCAAUUAGUAGUUGGCAGUGGCCUGUUAUGGUUGGGAUUGGGAGGGUUGGGUUUAGGUAAUUGUUUAGUUUAUGAUUUCAGAUAACUCAUGCAGAGAACUUAAAUACUUAGGAUGGAAAAACUAAGGAAAUCUCAACUUCCAAGUUGGCAAGUAACUUCCCGUCCUCUAGGUUUUGUUUUCCCCCAAUUUUUGAAUUGGGCAACUGAGGAAGUUCAUAAAGUUCCUCUGGAUUCAAUGUGUAGGGCCUGGGGAAGGAAAAUGUUAGACUGGGGGUUGGUCUAGCCCUCGGGGCUGACUUAGAUAAAAUCUUGGGAGUAUUUUAAAAUGCCAAAGUUGUUCAGCUAUGGGAGUGUGUGGUUCUCUUUUGGAAUUUUUUUCAGGUGAUUUAAUAUUACUUAAUACUGCUAUAGGAGCUUCAGAGCAAAGGAAGUGGCUUAAUGAUCCUGAAGGGAUUUCUUCUGAUGGUAGCUUUUAUAUUAUCAAGUAAGAUUCUAUUUUCAGUUGUGUAUAAACAAGGUUUUUUUAGUGUAGGAAAGAUUUUUCCUUCCUAUGAAUGCAAAAGGAGAUGUUAAGGUAUGCUUCAAAAUUAUUGUGAAUUGUGUAUUUUACAUUUGUAUCUUACCUAUUUGUAAAUCAUAACUGAUAAAAGAGGGCGGGCUUUUGUUGAUGAGGGAGGGGAAACCUUUUUUUUUUCUGUAGACUUUUUUCAGAUAACGUCUUCUGAGUCAUAACCAGCCUGGCAAUAUGAUGGCCUAGAUGGAGAGGGAACAGCUCCUUGGUGAAUGAUAAGUAAAGGCAGAAAAGAUUAUAUUUCAUAUCUCCAUUGGGGGAAAAGCGUAACCCUGAGAUCCUUACUACUGAUGAACACAUUGUCUGCAUAUGUCAAAAAAAAAUUGAGCCAAUGAAAACUACCAAUUUAAAGUUAAUGGAAUCUACCAAUUUAAAGUUAAUGGAAUCUACCAUUUUAAAGUUAAUGGAAUCUACCAAUUUAAAGUUAAUGGAAUCCACCAUUUUAAAGUUAAUGGAAUCUACUAUUUUAAAGUUAAUGCUUUAUCAAGCUUAUACCUACAAAAGUAACGAAUUGAUGAGAAAUACAAUGAAGAUCAAAUGUCCAUCUCCAAUUACUGCUUUUACAAAAGCAGAAUAAAAAAGCGAAAUGAAAUGAAAAUGAUACUACAUUAAUCCUGGAAUAAAAGAAGCUCAAGUAAUUCAGAGAUGAGUGGGAUCAAGUGGAUUGAGAGGAAGCUGUGCUGUUGCCAAUCUUUCGUUUACCUCAGACAGGUUUCUCUUCAUUAUCAGAAGAGUUGCUUCAUUCCAUCUGGGAGCAGAAAACAGCAGGCAACUGUUAACAGAUAAGUUUAACUUGCAUCUGCAGUAUUGCAUGUUAGGGAUAAGUGCUUAUUUUUAUUAAGAAGUUCUUAAAUAUUGAACUUGGCCAUUUUUCCUGAUCCCUUCCCUAGGGGAUUCCAGGAUUAUGAGGAAUUUUCCCGUCUAGCCUUUUUAAAAUUAGACACAACUCGUGCCUGUGGGCUUCCAUGAUGGGCUAGCACACCUCACUCAGAGAAACUUUGUCUUCGAACACUCUUUAAUGGACAAGAAAGAUCAGGAAUUGAGCGGAAGAACGAACUUAACUUUCUUAAGAAGCUUCAUUUCAUCCUUCAUGAAGCUGUUCAGAAUAUUGACUUGCAUAUAAGCGCUUGGCUCUGCCUUCUAUUCUCCUAGUGAGUGUGUGAGAGACCUUGCAACUACACAGAGAACGCAGUUGUCUUGACCUCAGGUCUGUCUGUUCUGUUGGCAAGUAAUAACGCAGUACUGUUCUGAUCUGCUGCUAUUAGAAUGCAUUGUGAAACGACUGGAGUAUGAUUAAAAGUUGUGUUUUCCCCCACUGCUUGGAGUAGUGAUUGUUGAAGGAAAAUCCAGCUGAGUGAUAAAGGCUGAGUGUUGAGGAAAUUUCUGCAGCUUUAAGCAUUCAUGUUUGUGAUUGAAGCCAAGUACCUUUUGCUGUGCUUAGGUAAAAUGCUUUUUUGUUCACUUCUGGUAGGGGGGUGGGGAGGGCACUGAAGCCUUUAGUCUUUUCCAGAUGCAACCUUAAAAUCAGAGUCAAGAAAUAAAUUCCAAACAAGCCACAGUCUUCAGGAAAUUUAACUGGCAAGUGGAAAUGUUGAAGAGUUCAGUGGUCUUAGUGUAUUGUCUUUGUGGGUUUCUCUCUCCCCUCCCUUCGUGUUAAUUCUUACACACAGGAACAUUCAAAACAGCAGACGUACACGAAGGGCCAGAGAAGCCAGACCCAGUAAGGAAAAAUAGCUUAUUUACUUUAAACAAAGAUUCCAUUUUAAAUGUGGGGAUUGGGAACCACUAGUUCUUUCAGAUGGUAUUCUUCAGACUAUAAAAGGAGCUUCCAGUUGAAUUCACCAGUGGACAAAAUGAGGACAACAGGUGAACAAGCUUUUUCUAUGUUUACAUAUUAAGCCAGAUCCGUUGGGUAAAUCCUUUAGUGUUACAGACUUGCAGCUUUAUGCUGGAGUAGAUAGCAUGUGAGCAGGUUGGUUGUUGGCCUGGGGGUGGAGGGGUGAGGUGGGCGCUAAGCCUUUUUUUAAGAUUUUUCAGGUACCCCUCACUAAAGGCACCGAAGGCUUAAAGUAGGACAACCACGCAGCCUUCCUGUGGCAAGAGAGACAACAAAGCGCUAUUACACUAAGGUCACUGCAAAUGGCGUCGGCCUCAUAACGCGCCCCGUCUUCUCGUAGACCUCUGAGGACUUGCCUCAGCGCCCUUGGCAGACAUGCACUGAGGCUCUUUGGGCCUGAAGCAUCCAGAGGAAUGCUUGAGUACCUUGUAUACCCCUGGGCUUGUCCUAACCCAUAAGCUGUUUUUAUAGCAGCUGUUACUAAAGCCCAAACUUCAAGUGAUGCUUGAAGGGGAGGGAAAGGGGGAAAGCGGGCAACCACUUUUCCCUAGCUUUUCCAGAAGCCUGUUAAAAGCAAGGUCUCCCCACAAGUGACUUCUCUGCCACAUCGCCACCCCCUGCCUUUGGCCUAGCGCAGACCCUUCACCCCUCACCUCGAUGCUGCCGGUAGCUUGGAUCCUUGUGGGCAUGAUCCAUUGUCAGUUUCAAGGUAACAGUGGUGCGAGGUCUUCCGGUGGGUUGCACUACUAGAAAAGGCCAUUAACGUGCUUGCAAAUGGUUAAGGUUAUUAAAACCACAACUAAAACCUCUGAUGUUUUAAGUGUACAAAUUUAAACCAGUGAAUGGAGAGCAAUGUUUAAGAACUGUAAUGUUGGGUGGGAAGAUAGAACGUAAAAACUGAAGGAGAUAGGCAUUUUAUUUCAGUGGUUGAGAGGGCGUUGGGUGGGAUUGCAAAAACUCUCUGCUAAGACUUUUUCAGGUGAACAUAACAGACUUGGCCAAGCUAGCAGCUUAGCUGAAGCAGAUUCUCCAGCAGUGCCCUUCCAUAGGGUUGUAAAAGGUUUUUCUUUUCCUGAGAAAACAAAAUCUUUUGUUUUCUCAGGUUUUGCUUUUUGGCCUUUUCCUAGCUUAAAAAAAAAAAGCAAAAGAUGCUGGUGGUUGGCACUCCUGGUUUCCAGGACGGGGUUCGAAUCCCUGCGGCGUCUGUGCUUGACUGUACCCUCUGCCUUCAGGACUCUCCUUUCCGUUUCCCUCCUCCUGUUCAGGAGGCGGCUCUGGAGUCGGGGGAGGGGCAAGCUGCCAGUGGAGGAGUGUCAGCUCGGCUGAAUUGUCAGAGCCUGGAGUCCGUUUGCAUUCACAUGGAAACCGGAAAACCUCAUAUAACUGCCCUGUCUUUCGUUUUCAGGUGUUUCUUGUGCAUCUGGCAUUUAGAGAAGCCUCACUCCUAAAACCUUAAGAUUUCGUAUUAAUAAAAAUUGAAAAGCUC